rnacentral:lncRNA from 1 species
GCUCUGUGGUUUGGGCAAGCUUUUCUCAGUCUUUACCUCCCCCUCCUCUGAGGACAUUUUAACUAAAUAUUGUCACCCUUUUCAAAACAGCGUUCUUGAGAAUUUGCCCACAGACGAGGAUAAUUCAUGGGAAAUCUUAAGAGAAAUUGUGAAACCAGAACUGUCACCCUCUUGAUCCCUGCUUUUACUGUUAUGGCAUCUCUCCCAAGUAACAAAAAGCUUUAUUGCAGGAAUGCCUCGAUGCUACGGGAACCCCAGGAACCCAGGGAGGACUGCUUAUAUACACCCCAGCACUGGGGAGGGCUAUGUGUCCUCCUGGGAUUGAGUCACCUCUUAUCUGAGUACCUUAAAGGAAAUUGGUUGGCUAAAGCAGAGCAGUUGUCCAGAAAGCUGCUCCUCCAGAUUGCCAAACUUAACAGCACUCGACUGGACCCCGUCACCUUGGGGGACUUCACCUCCUGGAUCACCAAUGCCUUCUCGUUUUUUUAAACCUGCUUUCUUAUCAAACCCUGAACCACCAGCCUGGAUCACCAAUGCCUUCUCGUUUUUUUAAACCUGCUUUCUUAUCGAACCCUGAACCACCAGCCCAGGGAUGGCCCCACCCACAAUAUGUAUGGCUCUUCCCCAC